GAUGAACGCUGGCGGCGUGCCUAAUACAUGCAAGUCGAGCGAACAGAUGAGGAGCUUGCUCCUCUGACGUUAGCGGCGGACGGGUGAGUAACACGUGGAUAACCUACCUAUAAGACUGGGAUAACUUCGGGAAACCGGAGCUAAUACCGGAUAAUAUAUUGAACCGCAUGGUUCAAUAGUGAAAGACGGUUUUGCUGUCACUUAUAGAUGGAUCCGCGCCGCAUUAGCUAGUUGGUAAGGUAACGGCUUACCAAGGCAACGAUGCGUAGCCGACCUGAGAGGGUGAUCGGCCACACUGGAACUGAGACACGGUCCAGACUCCUACGGGAGGCAGCAGUAGGGAAUCUUCCGCAAAGGGCGAAAGCCUGACGGAGCAACGCCGCGUGAGUGAUGAAGGUCUUCGGAUCGUAAAACUCUGUUAUUAGGGAAGAACAAAUGUGUAAGUAACUAUGCACGUCUUGACGGUACCUAAUCAGAAAGCCACGACUAACUACGUG
rnacentral:rRNA from 1 species